UCUGUUUUAGCUUACUUUGUGUUUCAUACAACUAAUACAUUCCAGAAACAUUUAAUUGAUAAUCAUUGUAAUAAGUCAUCUAAACAAACCUCUCCCAGCAGCAGGUCCGUUUAACUUGCUAUAGUACACACCGUAUUGUAUGGGUAUCAUACUCUGUCCUCGCUACAUAACAACAUGAAGACCACCUGAACAUAUGGAUGCAUUGGAGCAUGGACCUAAAGAAGAGCGAGCUCUUCUAAGAGAACGGUGAGUGCGUGAUAUAGAAUUGUAUAGAAUCUACCGUUAUCUUCAACCGUUAGCCUUCUAGCUGUUACGUUACCCCAGCCAGCCAGUCCAAGAUGUAUUCAAUUGUUGUUUUCACGGAAAAAAAUGAGACAGAGGUUAUACCAAGUGACUGGCUGAGCAUCGAUACAAUUUUUUCCUUUUGGCCCCCAUAUAAUACUACUAAGUGUAGAAAAGCGGUUGAAAAAAAUGAAACCCCUGAUGAAGAAUGGGAAGAAUAUAUAACUGAAUGGGUGGCUGAGUAUGAUUCCUAUGAAAAGCCCGAAGGAA